rnacentral:rRNA from 1 species
CCUACGGGUGGCAGCAGUGGGGAAUAUUGCACAAUGGGGGGAACCCUGAUGCAGCGACGCCGCGUGGGUGAAGGAGUAUUUCGGUAUGUAAAGCCCUAUCAGCAGGGAAGAACAAUGACGGUACCUGACUAAGAAGCACCGGCUAAAUACGUGCCAGCAGCCGCGGUAAUACGUAUGGUGCAAGCGUUAUCCGGAUUGACUGGGUGUAAAGGGAGCGCAGGCGGCGCGUUAAGCCUGGUGUGAAAGCCCGCGGCCCAACCGCGGGACUGCAGUGGGAACUGGCGCGCUGGAGUGCCGGAGGGGUAGGCGGAAUUCCUGGUGUAGCGGUGAAAUGCGUAGAUAUCACGCAGAACCCCGAUUGCGAAGGCAGCAUGCCGGCUUCCGACUGACGCUGAAGCACGAAAGCGUGGGGAUCGAACAGGAUUAGAUACCCUUGUAGUC